GAUGAACGCUGGCGGCGUGCCUAAUACAUGCAAGUCGAGCGAACGGACGAGAAGCUUGCUUCUCUGAUGUUAGCGGCGGACGGGUGAGUAACACGUGGAUAACCUACCUAUAAGACUGGGAUAACUUCGGGAAACCGGAGCUAAUACUGGAUAAUAUUUUGAACCGCAUGGUUCAAAAGUGAAAGACAGUCUUGCUGUCACUUAUAGAUGGAUCCGCGCUGCAUUAGCUAGUUGGUAAGGUAACGGCUUACCAAGGCAACGAUGCAUAGCCGACCUGAGGGGGUGAUCGGCCACACUGGAACUGAGACACGGUCCAGACUCCUACGGGAGGCAGCAGUAGGGAAUCUUCCGCAAUGGGCGAAAGCCUGACGGAGCAACGCCGCGUGAGUGAUGAAGGUCUUCGGAUCGUAAAACUCUGUUAUUAGGGAAGAACAUAUGUGUAAGUAACUGUGCACAUCUUGACGGUACCUAAUCAGAAAGCCACGGCUAACUACGUG
rnacentral:rRNA from 1 species